rnacentral:rRNA from 1 species
AUGUUGGUGUGUGGAAACUUUUUGGGUAGGGGAUGUGCUCGCGGCCUAUCAGCUUGAUGGUGGGGUAAUGGCCUACCAUGGCUUCGACGGGUAGCCGGCCUGAGAGGGUGACCGGUCACACUGGGACUGAGACACGGCCCAGACUCCUACGGGAGGCAGCAGUGGGGAAUAUUGGACAAUGGGCGGAAGCCUGAUCCAGCAACGCCGCGUGAGGGAUGACGGCCUUCGGGUUGUAAACCUCUUUCAUCACAGACGAAGCCUUUGGGUGACGGUAUGUGGAGAAGAAGCACCGGCCAACUACGUGCCAGCAGCCGCGGUAAUACGUAGGGUGCGAGCGUUGUCCGGAAUUAUUGGGCGUAAAGGGCUCGUAGGCGGUUUGUCGCGUCGGGAGUGAAAUCCAUGGGGCUUAACUUAUGGCUUUGCUUU